rnacentral:rRNA from 1 species
UACGUAGGGUGCAAGCGUUGUCCGGAAUUAUUGGGCGUAAAGAGCGUGUAGGCGGCCAGGUAGGUCCGUUGUGAAAACUCGAGGCUUAACCUCGAGACGUCGAUGGAAACCAUCUGGCUAGAGUCCGGAAGAGGAGAGUGGAAUUCCUGGUGUAGCGGUGAAAUGCGCAGAUAUCAGGAGGAACACCGGUGGCGAAGGCGGGACUCUGGGCCGAUACUGACGCUGAGGAGCGAAAGCGUGGGGAGCAAACAGG